GACGAACGCUGGCGGCGUGCUUAACACAUGCAAGUCGAGCGGUAAGGCCCUUUCGGGGGUACACGAGCGGCGAACGGGUGAGUAACACGUGGGUGACCUGCCCUCAGCUCUGGGAUAAGCCUGGGAAACCGGGUCUAAUACUGGAUAUGACUCCAUGACGCAUGUUGUGGGGUGGAAAGCCUUGUGCGGCUGAGGAUGGGCCCGCGGCCUAUCAGCUUGUUGGUGGGGUGANGGGCCUACCAAGGCGACGACGGGUAGCCGGCCUGAGAGGGCGACCAGCCACACUGGGACUGAGACACGGCCCAGACUCCUACGGGAGGCAGCAGUGGGGAAUCUUGCGCAAUGGGCGAAAGCUUGACGCAGCGACGCCGCGUGAGGGAUGACGGCCU
rnacentral:rRNA from 1 species